rnacentral:rRNA from 1 species
GGUUAAGUCCCGCAACGAGCGCAACCCUUGAUCUUAGUUGCCAGCAUUCAGUUGGGCACUCUAAGAUGACUGCCGGUGACAAACCGGAGGAAGGUGGGGAUGACGUCAAAUCAUCAUGCCCCUUAUGACCUGGGCUACACACGUGCUACAAUGGACGGUACAAAGGGCAGCAAGACCGCGAGGUUUAGCCAAUCCCAUAAAACCGUUCUCAGUUCGGAUUGUAGGCUGCAACUCGCCUACAUGAAGCUGGAAUCGCUAGUAAUCGCGGAUCAGCAUGCCGCGGUGAAUACGUUCCCGGGCCUUGUACACACCGCCCGUCGCACCACGAGAGUUUGUAACACCCGAAGUCGGUGAGGUAACCUUUUGGAGCCAGCCGCCUAAGGUGGGACAGAUGAUUGGGGUGAAGUCGUAACAAGGUAACCGUA